rnacentral:rRNA from 1 species
UACGAAGGGGGCUAGCGUUGCUCGGAAUUACUGGGCGUAAAGCGCACGUAGGCGGCUCUUUAAGUCGGGGGUGAAAUCCUGGAGCUCAACUCCAGAACUGCCUUCGAUACUGAAGAGCUCGAGUCCGGGAGAGGUGAGUGGAACUGCGAGUGUAGAGGUGAAAUUCGUAGAUAUUCGCAAGAACACCGGUGGCGAAGGCGGCCAACUGGUCCGGAUCUGACGCUGAGGCGCGAAAGCGUGGGGAGCAAACAGG